AUGAAGUUCUAAUAACAUGUAUGAAUAUAAAAUAUUAUUUUUGUAGUUCUUCUUCUUAGGACAUCAUAAUGGCACCUUUACGCGUCAUAAGAGUACCCUAUUAAUAGGAAAAGAGAAUCUCUGAACCCUACUUGCUCUUAUGACCGGACGACCUGGUGAUGAACUCAAUUAGAGUACUAAGCUACUAAAAAAGAUUUUAUAUAUGCAUCAUGUAUUUUAUAUUUAAAAACAUAUCUCUA
rnacentral:lncRNA from 1 species